rnacentral:rRNA from 1 species
UACGGGGGGGGCAAGCGUUGUUCGGAAUUACUGGGCGUAAAGGGCUCGUAGGCGGCCAACUAAGUCAGACGUGAAAUCCCUCGGCUUAACCGGGGAACUGCGUCUGAUACUGGAUGGCUUGAGUUUGGGAGAGGGAUGCGGAAUUCCAGGUGUAGCGGUGAAAUGCGUAGAUAUCUGGAGGAAUACCGGUGGCGAAGGCGGCAUCCUGGACCGGCAUUGACGCUGAGGAGCGAAAGCCAGGGGAGCAAACGGGG